rnacentral:rRNA from 1 species
GGGUUGUGAGGUUAAGCGACUAAGCGUACACGGUGGAUGCCCUGGCAGUCAGAGGCGAUGAAGGGCGUGCUAAUCUGCGAUAAGCGCCGGUAAGGUGAUAUGAACCGUUAUAACCGGCGAUACCCGAAUGGGGAAACCCAGUGUGAUUCGUCACACUAUCAUUAACUGAAUCCAUAGGUUAAUGAGGCGAACCGGGGGAACUGAAACAUCUAAGUACCCCGAGGAAAAGAAAUCAACCGAGAUUCCCCCAGUAGCGGCGAGCGAACGGGGAGGAGCCCAGAGCCUGAAUCAGCAUGUGUGUUAGUGGAAGCGUCUGGAAAGGCGCGCGAUACAGGGUGACAGCCCCGUACACAAAAGCGCAUGUGCUGUGAGCUCGAUGAGUAGGGCGGGACACGUGGUAUCCUGUCUGAAUAUGGGGGGACCAUCCUCCAAGGCUAAAUACUCCUGACUGACCGAUAGUGAACCAGUACCGUGAGGGAAAGGCGAAAAGAACCCCGGCGAGGGGAGUGAAAAAGAACCUGAAACCGUGUACGUACAAGCAGUGGGAGCACCCUUCGGGGUGUGACUGCGUACCUUUUGUAUAAUGGGUCAGCGACUUAUAUUCUGUAGCAAGGUUAACCGUAUAGGGGAGCCGGAGGGAAACCGAGUCUUAACCGGGCGUUAAGUUGCAGGGUAUAGACCCGAAACCCGGUGAUCUAGCCAUGGGCAGGUUGAAGGUUGGGUAACACUAACUGGAGGACCGAACCGACUAAUGUUGAAAAAUUAGCGGAUGACCUGUGGCUGGGGGUGAAAGGCCAAUCAAACCGGGAGAUAGCUGGUUCUCCCCGAAAGCUAUUUAGGUAGCGCCUCGUGAAUUCAUCUCCGGGGGUAGAGCACUGUUUCGGCUAGGGGGCCAUCCCGGCUUACCAACCCGAUGCAAACUGCGAAUACCGGAGAAUGUUAUCACGGGAGACACACGGCGGGUGCUAACGUCCGUCGUGAAGAGGGAAACAACCCAGACCGCCAGCUAAGGUCCCAAAGUCAUGGUUAAGUGGGAAACGAUGUGGGAAGGCCCAGACAGCCAGGAUGUUGGCUUAGAAGCAGCCAUCAUUUAAAGAAAGCGUAAUAGCUCACUGGUCGAGUCGGCCUGCGCGGAAGAUGUAACGGGGCUAAACCAUGCACCGAAGCUGCGGCAGCGAACGUAUCACCCAAGACAACUUUACGGAGUUGACGAUUGACGGAGCGAAGCGACGUCAAAGCGUUCAUUAAAGUCGAGUUGGCUUAGGGAUACGUUCGUUGGGUAGGGGAGCGUUCUGUAAGCCUGUGAAGGUGUGUCGUGAGGCAUGCUGGAGGUAUCAGAAGUGCGAAUGCUGACAUAAGUAACGAUAAAGCGGGUGAAAAGCCCGCUCGCCGGAAGACCAAGGGUUCCUGUCCAACGUUAAUCGGGGCAGGGUGAGUCGACCCCUAAGGCGAGGCCGAAAGGCGUAGUCGAUGGGAAACGGGUUAAUAUUCCCGUACUUGGUGUUACUGCGAAGGGGGGACGGAGAAGGCUAUGUUGGCCGGGCGACGGUUGUCCCGGUUUAAGCGUGUAGGUGUGUGUUCCAGGUAAAUCCGGUUCACUUUAACACUGAGGCGUGACGACGAGGCACUACGGUG